rnacentral:rRNA from 1 species
UACGAAGGGGGCUAGCGUUGUUCGGAAUUACUGGGCGUAAAGCGCGCGUAGGCGGUGAUCCAUGUCAGGGGUGAAAUCCCGGGGCUUAACCCCGGAAUUGCCUUUGAAACGGGAUCGCUAGAGUCCGAGAGAGGAUGGCGGAAUUCCUAGUGUAGAGGUGAAAUUCGUAGAUAUUAGGAAGAACACCGGUGGCGAAGGCGGCCAUCUGGCUCGGUACUGACGCUCAGGCGCGAAAGCGUGGGGAGCAAACAGG